UACGUAGGGCGCAAGCGUUGUCCGGAAUUAUUGGGCGUAAAGAGCUCGUAGGCGGUUUGUCGCGUCUGCUGUGAAAAGCCCGGGGCUCAACCCCGGGUCUGCAGUGGGUACGGGCAGACUAGAGUGCAGUAGGGGAGACUGGAAUUCCUGGUGUAGCGGUGAAAAUGCGCAGAUAUCAGGAGGAACACCGAUGGCGAAAGGGCAGGGUCUCUGGGCUGUUACUGACGCUGAGGAGCGAAAGCAUGGGGAGCGAACAGGAUAGAUACCGUAGUC
rnacentral:rRNA from 1 species